GAAAUGCGAUAAGUAGUGUGAAUUGCAGAAUUCAGUGAAUCAUCGAAUCUUUGAACGCACAUUGCGCCCCUUGGUAUUCCAUGGGGCAUGCCUGUUCGAGCGUCAUUUGUACCCUCAAGCUCUGCUUGGUGUUGGGUGUUUGUCCCGUCUCCGCGCGUGGACUCGCCCCAAAGUGAUUGGCAGCCGGCGUACUGGUCCCGGAGCGCAGCACAUGUCGCGCAAACGAGUGCCUUGGUACGGCGGCGUCCAUAAGCCCCUCUCUCACGCUCUUGACCUCGGAUCAGGUAUGGAUACCCGCUGAACUUAAGC
rnacentral:misc_RNA from 1 species